rnacentral:rRNA from 1 species
UUAAUUGAAGAGUUUGAUCAUGGCUCAGAUUGAACGCUGGCGGCAGGCUUAACACAUGCAAGUCGAGCGGAAACGAAGAGUAGCUUGCUACUCUGGCGUCGAGCGGCGGACGGGUGAGUAAUGCUUGGGAAUAUGCCUUGAGGUGGGGGACAACAGUUGGAAACGACUGCUAAUACCGCAUAAUGUCUACGGACCAAAGGAGGGGAUCUUCGGACCUUUCGCCUUUAGAUUAGCCCAAGUGAGAUUAGUUAGUUGGUGGGGUAAUGGCCUACCAAGACGACGAUCUCUAGCUGGUUUGAGAGGAUGAUCAGCCACACUGGGACUGAGACACGGCCCAGACUCCUACGGGAGGCAGCAGUGGGGA